CUUACAAAAUUUCAAUGAGACGAUUGGAUGAAAGCUAUUGGGUGCACUUUUAUUAUACAUAAAAUAGCGUCAGUAGUGUGUUUGCAAAACCUAAAAUUUUUUUACAGCAUAAUCCUCAUUUAUCGAAGAUUACAAGAACGGAGCGCUAGCAGAGUCAUAACUGGCUUUAAAACAUCUAAUACAAUCCAAGUAAUCUAUUUAGACUGAAUUUAUUUCGAUUUUAAUUUAUAGGAAGAACCUCAUCUGUUCUUCAAGAUAAAGGAUAUUAACAUAUCCAACUUCCAAAUUACUAAGAGCCAAAUUAAAUCUUUCUCCAUUCUCCAAGAAAUAAACAAAGAUCUAAUAAUGAAAUAUCAGUUCUUCUUUGGAGAUGUAGCAACAACAACUUCAAUAAAUUUAACUAAACAUAUUCAAAUACUACACCCAACUCAUACAUGUGGACGUUUCCAGAAGUGCAUUUAGGGAUAGUACGUAAUACGCAACACUGCAGCAAAGUGUAAAUAUAUGAAUAUAACUGAAUGAAAAUACCAGUCUUAAUCUUAACCAUCAAGGGGCGUGUUAUAGAUUCAAACUUUCAAACAGCAAUUUUCCUUUUUCCAAAGCAAUUAUUUUCAAUAAUUUGCCUUUAAUCCUUGGUGUUAUAGUAUCUUUAUUAUACUGUUUUCUGUUCUUAUUCAUACCUUUUCUGGAUGGCUUGAAAUGCAUAAAAUUACAGUAGACGCAAAAUCAUUUAUUAUCCUUUAAAAAGUCAUUUAGCAAAAUACCAACGAUCUUGUGCUAACUUAUCCUUAAAAAGAUAAAAUGAAUAAAAUUGUGGAUUUUGUCUCAGAAAUUCAAAGAAAAUAGGAAUUUUAUUGAUCAUCACAAAAUAAAUUAAGCAAAAACCAUACAUUUUUUUCAACUGUGUCCACAGUUUCCUAGUUGGAUUUGAAAGAAAGGCUCACUUUCAUUUGAGCACAAAUUGUUACCAAAUGAGUGCUCAGCAUGCUAGUACCACAGCGGGUACAUAACCGGCGCAGGCGAAUGAGGUAGAUCGUGCCAGAAAAUGUCUGACAUUUGAGAAUGCAACAAGAACACCACCGAAGCAGUUUCGUUAAGUUUUAGGAAAAAAUCAAGGAUAUGAAGUAGAUAUGGUUAAACAUAAUUAUCUAUAACAUGUGAUUGAAGUUUUAGAAAAUGUAU